UUAGGGUUGGGCCUCCUCGGCCACCGUCGCCCGCUCGUCUGUCGCGGCGCCUCGGUCCACCGAAAGUCCGUCUGCGGAGGUGCUGAAGGCACAGCCCGGGUCGCUAGAGUGCUGACCGCGGGGACAGCACGGAAGCGUCAGGUGUCUGCCCCCGCGCCCUUGCCUCUCACCUGCCCGCGGGCGGACCCGCGGCCUCAGUGCAGGGACUCCUCGAGAGCGUUGCCUGGCCUGAGAUCCGGGGCCGGGGCUGUGCUCGCGCCCUCUGUGUCUGCAGUCCGCUGGGCACCGGCCUGGGGGCAGCUUGUCCCGCCGCCGCGGGCGCCUCUGGCCCUGGCUGCAGCGCAGGGGAUCCCAGCCUUCGGACUGGCGACCUGGCAGGAGACGAACAGGAAGGGAAAAGGCCUAGAAAAUUAAGCCGGCCGAAGAAGAGCUGCACGUUUGGUGGUCAGGCAAGGCCGAUAGCUUUGGGGAUCGCGGAACACGAAAGUUGUCCGGGUGUCCGGUGUAGCUGGUCCUAGAGACAGGAGGCCCGCCACACAGGGCCGUAUGAGAAGGACACCCGGGUGGUCAAGAGGCAGAAAACAGAAGCAGGGGUGGAGUACUUAGGCCGCAGCCUUUACUGGACUUUCUUCAGGAAAGGUACAACAGGGCAGGAGCAGUUCUUUUCAUUUGUGAGACAGAAAGGAUGUAUUUGCAUAUGGAAAUUAAGG